rnacentral:rRNA from 1 species
GAGUUUGAUCAUGGCUCAGGAUGAACGCUGGCGGCGUGCCUAAUACAUGCAAGUCGAACGAAACUUCUUUAUCACCGAGUGCUUGCACUCACCGAUAAAGAGUUGAGUGGCGAACGGGUGAGUAACACGUGGGCAACCUGCCCAAAAGAGGGGGAUAACACUUGGAAACAGGUGCUAAUACCGCAUAACCAUAGUUACCGCAUGGUAACUAUGUAAAAGGUGGCUAUGCUACCGCUUUUGGAUGGGCCCGCGGCGCAUUAGCUAGUUGGUGAGGUAAAGGCUUACCAAGGCAAUGAUGCGUAGCCGAACUGAGAGGUUGAUCGGCCACAUUGGGACUGAGACACGGCCCAAACUCCUACGGGAGGCAGCAGUAGGGAAUCUUCCACAAUGGGCGAAAGCCUGAUGGAGCAACGCCGCGUGGGUGAAGAAGGUCUUCGGAUCGUAAAACCCUGUUGUUAGAGAAGAAAGUGCGUGAGAGUAACUGUUCACGUUUCGACGGUAUCUAACCAGAAAGCCACGGCUAACUACGUGCCAGCAGCCGCGGUAAUACGUAGGUGGCAAGCGUUAUCCGGAUUUAUUGGGCGUAAAGGGAACGCAGGCGGUCUUUUAAGUCUGAUGUGAAAGCCUUCGGCUUAACCGGAGUAGUGCAUUGGAAACUGGGGGACUUGAGUGCAGAAGAGGAGAGUGGAACUCCAUGUGUAGCGGUGAAAUGCGUAGAUAUAUGGAAGAACACCAGUGGCGAAAGCGGCUCUCUGGUCUGUAACUGACGCUGAGGUUCGAAAGCGUGGGGAGCAAACAGG